GAUGAACGCUGGCGGCGUGCUUAACACAUGCAAGUCGAACGGUGAACGAGGGAGCUUGCUCCCUCCGGAUCAGUGGCGAACGGGUGAGUAACACGUGAGCAAUCUGCCCUGGACUCUGGGAUAAGCGUCGGAAACGACGUCUAAUACCGGAUACGAGCUUCAGCCGCAUGGCUAGGAGUUGGAAAGCUUUUUCGGUCAAGGAUGGACUCGCGGCCUAUCAGCUUGGUGGUGGCGUAAUGGCUCACCAAGGCGACGACGGGUAGCCGGCCUGAGAGGGUGACCGGCCACACUGGGACUGAGACACGGCCCAGACUCCUACGGGAGGCAGCAGUGGGGAAUAUUGCACAAUGGGCGCAAGCCUGAUGCAGCAACGCCGCGUGAGGGACGACGGCCUUCGGGUUGUAAACCUCUUUUAGCAGGGAAGAAGCGCAAGUGACGGUACCUGCAGAAAAAGCACCGGCUAACUACGUGCCAGCCGCCGCAGUAAUAC
rnacentral:rRNA from 1 species